rnacentral:rRNA from 1 species
AACGAACGCUGGCGGCAUGCCUAACACAUGCAAGUCGAACGAGACCUUCGGGUCUAGUGGCGCACGGGUGCGUAACGCGUGGGAACCUUCCCUUAGGUUCGGCAUAACUCCCCGAAAGGGGUGCUAAUACCGGAUAAUGUCUUCGGACCAAAGAUUUAUCGCCUUUGGAUGGGCCCGCGUUGGAUUAGCUAGUUGGUAGGGUAAAAGCCUACCAAGGCGACGAUCCAUAGCUGGUCUGAGAGGAUGAUCAGCCACACUGGGACUGAGACACGGCCCAGACUCCUACGGGAGGCAGCAGUGGGGAAUAUUGGACAAUGGGCGAAAGCCUGAUCCAGCAAUGCCGCGUGAGUGAUGAAGGCCUUAGGGUUGUAAAGCUCUUUUAACCGGGAUGAUAAUGACAGUACCGGGAGAAUAAGCUACGGCUAACUCCGUG